UUUCCCAUUAAGCCUUGGAAAGUUGAAUUUGGGGGCAUGAUGUGUGUGCAUGUGCAUGGCUGUGGACUUUGUAUUUUGGAGGGCCUUGGCAGAGCAAACCAGUUUAGCGCCAGUAGCCUUUGAGCGGCUAUUUAGCAUACUGCUCGCAGUCAAACAUGAAGUCAACGUGUCUGCUAGAAUUAAGUGUGUGCUGUACAGGAAGCAUGCUACCUGAGCUAUUAUUUAACAAAAAACUAUAACACAUGGAAAAGGAUGUAGAUCUCGAUUUAGAUAAUAUACGGUCAAAACAUCUGUUCUCCUGUUAUCUUUAGCCGCAAUAAAUCUGAGUCAACAUCAUUUAAUAGGUAAAUUCAGGGAAAGUAGCUAUUUAUCUUCACACAGAAGGUAUUCAGAUUUAACAUUUCACCCUCUAGCAGUUAGAGCUGAUAAAUGCUCUUAUCAGUUCCUCCACAUCCAGCCCUUUAAAUCUCUGCCGUGUUAAAAUGACUGCGAGUGCUGGCGGUCGUAGAUGACAUAUUGUGAAAUGACAGACAAGAGCGGCUGUCUUCUCAAUCCAUCGCCCAGCUUUUUCAUUGCAAUAUUAUGUCCAGGUUUACUGCAUCGAUUUUUGUUGCAGCUUAAUCUUUCCGCCUGUGCCAACUCUUCGUGUUUUUGAAGGUGUUCAUUGCUUCUUAUGUGCUUUCGACAAGCCCCAGAGCAAUUCCCACUAACCUUUUCCCGCAAUGCAAAAGAAAGGUUACAUCAGUGCGCCUCUCCCGACGUAAACGUACUUCCCUUCUCUCUUCAGUUCCAGAUUCCGCUUGACAUUUUCCUUGUUCAUUUGGGGAAAAAACAACUUUGAAAGUCACCUCUUGUCUUUUUUUAUUUCACCCUCUUAUUCUCCUUCCAUUGGCUUUGGGCAUCUGAACUUCCCAUCACACUAAGCAUGCUGUCAAGUUGGAUUAGUCCAUGAAGUUUAACUUGUGGGUAUUUUUUUGUUACAGGAAAGGCACUCUAGGCUUAUGUCUGACAAAUAAACCUUGCUGAGUUGCAGGUUCAAAGUUUAUCCAUUUAUUUUCCGCAGGCCGUUUCGCCCUCCCGAUUAUUUCUCCUGAGUCCAAAGUUUCUGCUGCGGCUUAACGAUACUCGUGUGGCAUCGUCAAUAGCAAGGAUACAAGGAGAGAAGGGUGAGGAAAAAGAGGGGUGACUGGGAGGUCAGUUCUCGCCUCUGCUUCUGAAGAAGGACUUUACUGUAGAGAGGUAAGAGUGAAUGAGCUGUAAACACCGGCAAAAAACAACAGAGAAGGAGUUGUUUAACAAAAUAAAGGAGAUCUUGAGAACUUGCAGGGCUCCAGUGAAUAAAUGUGAGGGCGCUUUAGCAACACUCAGUUUGACAAAUGCAGUACAGUUUUUUAAUCCUGGGAAAUGUGUUGAGUCCUUUUUGCUGUUUCAUCGACUAGUCCUGAUGUGGAGUUGUACAUCAACUCUCUCUUGAAUGUGAAACAGGGAUGGGUUAGCGUCAUAGCUCCAUAAGGCUGUGUAAACACACAUGAGGUGACAUGUUUUGCAGUGACAAUGCUUGCUGACAGACAGCAACCCCUGAAACAACGAGGUCUCACAUUUCAAACCAAUGCAUGAACAAGAGUUUCAGUUCAAUUUACUUCUGCUUGUCAACACUGAUGCCAAAGAUGUUUAUUUUUGUGAACAUGCUAGAAAUAAAAGCUAAACAAUAUGGAUAUUUUACUCUUGUCCUGCAAUCCAGA
rnacentral:lncRNA from 1 species